AAAAAAACGAAAAAUUUACUAUUUUGUUUACAGUUUUGAAAUUAACAUUUUCACUAUAAAAAGUGCGUUUAGAAGGUCAACUAAGAUAGCAACGACCAAAAGAAAUAAUUACAGUAGCACAAAAGCCAGCGGGCGCAGACCAAUUAGCUCAAAGGCAAGCGAUGAUUAAUGUGAGAAAACUGGAAAAUAGUAUGAAGAAGGUGCAGUUAAAAAACCAAAACAAUUAAAGGUAAAACAGUGGCAAAUAUUAGUAUGGGUAUCCUCAUAACAUUCCACCAACUAGCAACACCCUAAAAUUGCAAACAAACGUGUUAUUCAACUGUUAUGUGUUGUUAUGAGUUUGAAUGGGGUUAAUGAAGAUGCUGCUAGGCGAAGUUGAAGUUGCCACACUUGAAAUAUUGGGCGAGUGUUUGUUCAAAUUUAAUAGUCAUUAAUCUUGCUUCGCGCUGCUCAAAUAAUUACAUUUGUUCUCAGGCAUGCGAUUCUUGGAUUAAGCGCUGCUUGGGUUUCUCAUAGCCACCAUCUUCUUUGCAAAUAUCAAGGCCAUCAACUAGCAGCCGUCAUAAAGACAAGCUUAGACAACAACACAAUUACAAAUACAACUGAAUUAUGUUUAUACCCAACUGAUAUGACAGCUGGUGUUGAUUGCAACAGCCAAGAACUGACAAAAUGCCAUCAUCUAUUCGCUAACUGCUUGUUUGUUUUUUUGCUUGGCACUAGGUAGCAAGUCUACGAAAUGAGUGGUGCGAAGAUGUCAGCCAGCAAGCGGCAUUAUUUACUUGUUUUGGCAUGCAAUACGCAACUAAGCAGAAGAAGAAGAAUAAGAAACAGAAAUAUGCAAAUCGGGUUUUAAGUGAUGGACAAUAGAAACGUUGCCGCUGACUGAAGUGCUUGCAGGCUGAUUUGAUUGCUAUUUUAUUUUAAUUCGCCUGAUUUGCAUGCCGAAAUACUCGGUGGAGUUAUUUUAUGGCUGUAUCUGCAAAUAUUGGCUUUGGGCUUAGCAGUAAACCUCAAAUUUAGCUUUUACGAGCAGUAUAUUCUUAAUUCAAAAUUCGAAAUAAAGGAAAAUAUUGUAUAAUAUUAUAAUUGUAAAACUUACUAUAGC